rnacentral:rRNA from 1 species
AUCGGGGUUGCGGACAGUGUCUGGUGGGUAGUUUGACUGGGGCGGUCUCCUCCCAAAGAGUAACGGAGGAGCACGAAGGUUAGCUAAUCCUGGUCGGACAUCAGGAGGUUAGUGCAAUGGCAUAAGCUAGCUUGACUGCGAGCGUGACGGCGCGAGCAGGUGCGAAAGCAGGUCAUAGUGAUCCGGUGGUUCUGAAUGGAAGGGCCAUCGCUCAACGGAUAAAAGGUACUCCGGGGAUAACAGGCUGAUACCGCCCAAGAGUUCAUAUCGACGGCGGUGUUUGGCACCUCGAUGUCGGCUCAUCACAUCCUGGGGCUGAAGUAGGUCCCAAGGGUAUGGCUGUUCGCCAUUUAAAGUGGUACGCGAGCUGGGUUUAGAACGUCGUGAGACAGUUCGGUCCCUAUCUGCCGUGGGCGCUGGAGAAUUGAGGGGGGCUGCUCCUAGUACGAGAGGACCGGAGUGGACGCAUCACUGGUGUUCGGGUUGUCAUGCCAAUGGCAUUGCCCGGUAGCUAAAUGCGGAAGAGAUAAGUGCUGAAAGCAUCUAAGCACGAAACUUGCCCCGAGAUGAGUUCUCCCUGAGACUUUAAGUCUCCUGAAGGAACGUUAAAGACGAUGACGUUGAUAGGUCGGGUGUGUAAGCGUAGCGAUACGUUGAGCUAACCGAUACUAAUGAAC